GGCUGGUCCGAGUGCAGUGGUGUUUACAACUAAUUGAUCACAACCAGUUACAGAUUUCCUUUGUUCCUCUCCACUCCCACUACUUCACUUGACUAGCCUUAA
rnacentral:Y_RNA from 1 species